GUGCUCGCUUGGGCACACGUACUAAAAUUGGAAUGGUACAGAGAAGAUUAGCAUGGCCCCUGCAUAAGGAUCACACGCAAAUUCCUGAAGCGUUCCAUAUACAU
rnacentral:snRNA from 1 species